CACGUAGGGCGCAAGCGUUGUCCGGAAUUAUUGGGCGUAAAGAGCUCGUAGGCGGUCUGUUACGUCUGCUGUGAAACCCGGGCUUAACCCUGGGCUUGCAGUGGAUACGGGCAGACUAGAGGCAGGUAGGGGAGAAUGGAAUUCCCGGUGUAGCGGUGAAAUGCGCAGAUAUCGGGAGGAACACCGGUGGCGAAGGCGGUUCUCUGGGCCUGACCUGACGCUGAGGAGCGAAAGCAUGGGGAGCGAAACAGG
rnacentral:rRNA from 1 species